GGGCACGACACCGGAGAGGGAGCCUGAGAAACGGCUACCACAUNCAAGGAUGGCAGCAGGCGCGCAAAUUACCCAAUCCCGACACGGGGAGGUAGUGACAAUAAAUAACAAUACGGGGUUCUUUAGGAUCUCGUAAUUGGAAUGAGUACAAUUUAAAUCUCUUAACGAGGAACAAUUGGAGGGCAAGUCUGGUGCCAGCAGCCGCGGUAAUUCCAGCUCCAAUAGCGUAUAUUAAAGUUGUUGCAGUUAAAAAGCUCGUAGUUGAAUUUCGGGGUUAGUAGGUUGGUCAUGCCUCUGGUAUGUACUGGUCUCACUGAUUCCUCCUUCCUUAUGAACCGUAAUGCCAUUAAUUUGGUGUUGCGGGGAAUUUGGACUGUUACUUUGAAAAAAUUGGAGUGUUUAAAGCAAGCUAACGCUUGAAUACAUUAGCAUGGAAUAAUGAAAUAGGACGUUCGAUCUUAUUUUGUUGGUUUCUAGGAUUGACGUAAUGAUUAAUAGGGAUAGUUGGGGGCAUUAGUAUUCAAUUGUCAGAGGUGAAAUUCUUGGAUUUAUUGAAGACUAACUACUGCGAAAGCAUUUGCCAAGGAUGUUUUCAUUAAUCAAGAACGAAAGUUAGGGGAUCGAAGACGAUCAGAUACCGUCGUAGUCUUAACCAUAAACUAUGCCGACUAGGGAUCGGAUGAUGUUAAUUUUUUAAUGACUCAUUCGGCGCCUUACGGGAAA
rnacentral:rRNA from 1 species